rnacentral:lncRNA from 1 species
GGAGCGAGGGAUGCAACAUGGUGCAUCUGGGAGGCCUGCUAACUGGCUAACUUCUCCGGCGUUCCUCCCGGCCGAGGCGUGGGCACAGAAUAGCGCAGUUUGAAGACAUCAUUUUCCAGUUUUGGAGCCGACUAAUGAACUAGUUCUUAAGUGAAAGGCAUUUAACACGACUGUGCAUCUACAGGUACUAGGUUUCCAAGAUGCCUUUCCAGACUAAAACCCACACAUGUGAGCCGCUGGCCGGACAAACAUCUGGCACCUAACGUGGGGCUGAAAAACAGCAGAGGACAUUUGGAAGAAACACUGCUGGUUUGGAGCUCCAUAGAAGAAGAAAAUAAUUAAAGGAAAUUCAUACCAGAGAAGGUCAGUAUGGGCUAAGCUGAAACAGCGUUUAACCUGAGCGCUAAUUCGCUUAGGUUCAGCAGUGAGGCAUCUCAGGAGCUAGGAACGUAACAGGCGGUUAGCCAUAGCUCCCAGAAGCUACAUUUUUAGGCGUGAGAAAAGAAAGGGUUUAUUAAAAGGAAAUUAAUAAUAAGGCGGACUGCAUCAUGCGGGAGGAAAAUGUCCCAAAAAGCAGAGAGAAAUUUCCGGAGUGCCAUGCUUUGUUCUCUCUGGGCUUUACAGCAGAAAUACUCUGCCCCUUUUGUGUCUUGUCUAAUGUCUGGUGCACUGAAAGACCCACAACAUGAGGACUCCCCCACGUUCUGACUCAGGAGAGGCGACACCCCAAACCACUCACAAGAAACGGUCUUGCUGCAAACUGCAAGAGGAUUUUUAUUCAAGAGCGCUCUCAGGCCCACGGUCAUACACCACACAGGGGUAGAGGACUUUCGCGUCCUGAGUUGCUGGGAAAGGGGGUAUUUAAAGGAAGAAACCACAACUCAAGGAAGUGGGGAGGGCGUUGUUGGAAAAUACAAAGAUACCAGUUAAGAGUCCCAAGGAAGUGCAAACUCACAAGAGUCACAAGGAAUACCUGGAAAUUUUGCAGGUUAUCUCUCAAGACAGUUUCUAAGAGGCCCUAACAAUAGCACAUUUGCAUAGUGGGUUCCGCCAAUGGUCAGGGUGACUUUCUUUGAAUGAACACUCUUUGAACCCAGGAAGCAGGUGGGUAGAGGAAUGUCACUAUCUGUUUUAUGAUUAGCAUACCUUGGAGCAUUAAGUCACAGAGGUCACAUUCCCAAGCCUGGGCCUAAAGGCCUAGAAUUUUGUUUUUAUGUUAUACUUUCAGCACCAAUCUGUUCACAUGUUCAAUUCAUGUAUGUUUGUGUCCAGUCUGUAUGAAUGAAUGUUCUAUGUUUUAUGUUGGAUAAUAAAGAUGGCAAAAAAAAUAAAAAACUUUAUCUGCAAAGCCGAGAGCUGCCACGUGCUACAACCAGGAAACAGACACAUGGCAGGAGGGCCCCUGCUGAAAAAACUGUUAUAGGAAAAAAGGGCGAGUCUACAGCCUCUCAGUUUCGGGGUAAAAAAAGCUGAUGAAUGUUUUUUUCCUGGAGGGUUCUCUACAAUCGUGAUUAAUAUGUUUGGCAAAUGAUAAAGUGCUUUUUAUUCCAUGAUUGUAGCUAGAAAAAUUAAUAUUCUCUGAUUGGUCUAAAUGUAACUGCUUCAUUUGGUUUUUUUAUUGGUAAUGUGCUCUGCGUGUUUUCACUAUCAGGUCAUAAGUUAUGGGUUAAGAUUAAUAAUUGUUACAUUGCUACAGAUGGUUAGUCUUAAAAUUGAUAACUCAAGUUUAAUGUCUUUCCAACACAUGGCAUAAGGCAGGCCGAGAGGCUGGGUCUCUAAAGAUAUUUCUAGUUAAGAUAAUAAUUAAUGUGGUUCCUAUCCUAGAAAGUAGAAUUUAAGAUAAGAGUUAAAGCAAUGUCUCUUUAUUAAAGCAUUAAAGCUUACAUGUAUUCAUAGGUAUUAAUUGGCAGCCAGGCUUCGUAAUAUGAUAGAAAUGCUUCUAAUAUUAAUUCUAUGAGUAAUAAAUUGUUUUAAAAUUAGGCUUUACUUUCCCAAAGUUAAUGUUGCAAAAGAAACUUAAUAAUUCUUUACAGAUCUAGCCAGAUGCUGUUUUAAUGAAGUUCAAGUUCAUAGUUUGUAAAGAGUCAAUCAGACCGUAAAAUUUAUCAAGGCAUUACAGUCUGGUUUGCCUACCUUUUAUAUAGUUAUUUUAAAUCCGAAGGUUUGUUUCUUUUUCUCUCUCCUUUGCAUCUUAAUGAUUGUAAAGGUUUGGCCUCUAGUGAGUUUGUAAUAACCUAAAUAUUUUGCCUCUAAUAUGGCUAAAUAUUGAUCUACAUUAUGUAAAAAUUUUUUAUCAUUUCUGCUUCUAUACAAGAAGCCAAAAUUUUUUAAUCUUUCAAUGUAUAUUUUUUCCUAAGUGAAAAAUGUUUUAUUAACUAAUGCUUCUCAAGGGAAGUUUACUUUAAAUCUUUGCUCUCACCCAAAAGAUUCAGAGACAAUAUCCUUUUAUUACUUAGGGUUUUAGUUUACUACAAAAGGUUUUACAAAAAAUAAAGAAAGCUUUUAUAGUUGUUGUUAACUAUAUUCAUUGGCAAUUAAAUAUUAGCUGUGCCCAAGACAAUUCCUUGGCCAGAAAAAAUUAAUUCUCAAAUUUGCAAUUGCUUAUGCAUAUAUAACUCAUAGAAAAAAAUGCUGUCCUUUUAAGAAGACGGUUUUUAGACAUUUAUUAAAUUGUCCUAAUUGCCUGGACAUUUUAAAACAAUGCCAGGAUAAAUUUAUAUCUCAGACAGUCUAUAGAUCGUCCAUAUAAAAUAGAUUGGAUAUAUAACCUUGUUCUUUAUAUAUUCAUAACAGUUAUGGUUUAAGAUAAUGUUUUAGUAUUCUUAAAAAUUGUGCAUGUAUAAUUCUUUCUUUUUAGUGUCCUCAGUUAUUACUUGUUUCCACAUAAUAGUGUUAAUUCUUGAGGACUUUUACUUAAUAAUUUGCGACAAAUAAAUGCUCUUAUUUCUAGUUAAUAAAUUAUGCACAUGUGACUCUUAAUAACUUUUCAAGCUUUCUAGUUACAACCGAUCCUUAAGAAAAAUGAUUUCCCCCAAGCCAAGGUUAAAGCCCACUCAUCUACGGAUGAGAAAAUCAUUUGAUCACCUCAGUUAAGUGUGGCCUUAUUAUACUUAAUUAAUAGGGGGGGAGAGAGGUUGGAGACCGUACUGUUAGAAGGGCAAGCCCUUCACAGCCUCCCACCCUAAAAAGCCAAUUGGCCUUGUACUAAGGACCUGGUCGUCAUCCCCUCCUCCCUGCCUGUCAUCCAAGAAUGCAGAGGAAUAUCCACUUACUCUCCUUCAAUGUUAUUCAUAAUAUAGUGCCUUUCCGCCCUGUAGCUGACUACUUAAAAUUCAACUAGGAAGUUACCUAUUCAGUACUAAUUAGCAUUAUAAAGUCAGAGCCUAUAGCUCAGGGCUAAUCUGCUACUUGUUUAUUAGGACAGAAAGGACAGUCUUAUCCAGAUACAGUAUACC